rnacentral:rRNA from 1 species
AUGGGUCUCGUCUGGAUGGUGGCGGCGGCCGUGGCGGUGGUGCUGGCCUCGUGGGCGUUCAACGCGCUGGUGUACCUCUUGUGGAGGCCGCACGCCAUCACCAGGCAGCUCCGCGCGCAGGGCGUCGGCGGGCCGGGCUACAGGUUCUUCGCCGGGAACCUCGCCGAGAUCAAGCGGCUCCGCGCCGACACCGCCGGCGCCGCGCUGGACGUCGGCAACCACGACUUCGUCCCCAUGGUCCAGCCGUACUUCCGCAAAUGGAUCCCAAUCCACGGGCGCACGUUCCUCUACUGGUUCGGGGCCAGGCCGACCCUGUGCGUGGCCGACGUGAACACGGUGAAGCAGGUGCUCUCCGACCGCAGCGGGCUGUACCCUAAGAACAUCAGCAACCCGCACAUCGCCCGCCUGCUCGGCAACGGGCUCGUGCUCACCGACGGCGACGACUGGAAGCGCCACCGCAAGGUCGUCCACCCCGCCUUCAACAUGGACAAGCUCAAGAUGAUGACCGUGACCAUGUCCGACUGUGCCGGGUCAAUGAUGUCGGAGUGGAAGGCAAAGAUGGCGAAGGGCGACAGCGUGGAGAUUGAGCUGAGCACCCAGUUUGAGGAGCUCGCCGCGGAUGUCAUCUCUCACACGGCAUUCGGUAGCAGCUACGAACAGGGGAAAAAGGUCUUCCUCGCGCAGAGGGAGCUCCAGUUUCUUGCCUUCUCCACCAUAUUCAACGUGCAAAUCCCAGCAUUCAGGUACCUCCCAACUGAAAAGAACCUCAAGAUAUGGAAGCUUGACAAGGAGGUGAGGACCAGGCUGAUGAACAUCAUCCAAAGCGCGUGCGCGGCAGAGGGCGGGCAUAAUCCGAUUUUAAGCAUGGACGAGAUCAUAGAUGAGUGCAAGACCUUCUUCUUUGCCGGGCAUGACACCAGCUCACACCUGCUCACAUGGACCAUGUUCUUGCUGAGUACGCACCCUGAGUGGCAGGAGAAGCUCAGGGAGGAGGUGCUAAGAGAGUGUGGCAGUGAGGCGGGGUCGGAUCUCGAGGUUGGUGGCAUCAAAAUGCCCGAGGGCACGGUCCUAACGAUCCCAAUCGCGACAAGACAUCAUGACAAGGAGAUAUGGGGAGAAGAUGCCAACGAAUUCAAGCCUACGAGGUUCGAGAAUGGAGUGACGAGGUCCGGAAAGCACCCCAAUGCCUUGUUGUCUUUCUCCAGUGGGCCGAGGUCGUGCAUAGGGCAGAACUUUGCAAUGAUAGAGGCCAAGGCUGUGAUCCCCGUGAUUCUUCAGAGAUUUUCAUUCUCCCUAUCACCGAAGUAUGUCCAUGCCCCCAUGGAUGUGAUUACGCUGCGGCCUAAGUUUGGGCUUCCCAUGAUCCUCAAGAGCCUAGAGAUGUAG